GCUCAGUACAAUGAGAUUUUCUGGGCAACUGAGUGAGAAACAUGUAUUGACAUGUCAGAAAGCAAGGUUUAUCAAAGCAACUGUUCAGGCAGUUAGUCAGUUAGUCAGUUCAGUUCAGUUCAGUUCAGUCUUUCAUUGGUAAAUAGUUUCCUAAGAAAAGGAGUUACUCCACAAAAUAGUGUAAAAUAAGUCUUCUGUGAGCCAUUGUACUAAAAACUCUACUAUACUGACAGACACUAUGGUGAUGAGCACAUGAAAGGAACCAAAACAGCACAGGACAAAAAACAAGCGUGAAUCAGCAGAACUGUUGAAAGCAAGACUUACCUGGAAGCCUUGUUCUUAAGGAAGCAGUAAAGCAGGAUGAAUUAGGAAAUACUUGAUGUGUUCGUGUCUCUCUCCCCUUAAUCACAAUUACACACCAUAACAAAAUGUAUUAUGUGUCUAUGAAAACGUGUUCAACUGAUUUUCAGAGCAAGGGCCCUUUGGCAAUUUGUUACAAACCUCAUAACAGUAUGACAUUUAGUUAUUCAGUGGUAAUAAGCAUCUGUUAUCUGUUAUCUACCAUUUGUUUAUGGCUUAAUCACUCAUAUAUUACUUACACAUCCACUUCAAGCUUGCUUCACUCUCAUACCAAAGCAAUUAGAGACAAAGAAAGAUGUUUGAAAUUUUGAUUUUGCUUUGCAAUGGGUUUUUGUCCUUCUUUUGAUGUAACUGUUACAGCAAUAUUACUGAUAAUUGUAUCUAUUCAACACCAACGCUAGUCAGUGGGACACCCAGAUUUUCCUCAAAUCUAUUUAAAAAAAAAGGUGAGAUUUAGCAGCACUUGAGUAUUUCUGUGUAAAAACCAUUAUGAAUGUCCAGGUGCCCUUUCUGAGUGACAUUUUCUUUAAUUUCUUCCCGUAAUACGUCCUUGAAUUAUAAGGUGUCUGGUUAUGCAUUUGUCAAAGGCCUUGUGUUAGUUGUUCAUAAAAUAAAUGUGCAGAACUUUGUUAUAAAAAAAAAGAAAAAAAAAAAGGUAAAAAGGUGUCUAGUGGCCACAAUUUUCUGAUAACAAGUAUGUUGUUGUAAAAGGCCACUUGUGUAUAUAGCUUGUUUUCAUUUCGGAUGUAUACUUCUUUAUACUUCUUAAUUACAAACUAAGAAGGUAAAUAAACAUGGAUUUAUUUAUUUGAAGAACA